rnacentral:rRNA from 1 species
UCUUAACAGUCUAUCUCCCUGAACGGAUUAUCCAGAGCUAGGGAUAUAUGGCUGGCAGAGCAGUUCUCCAUUGAAUUGUCAGUGAAGCUCAUAACGAUCCUUGAAAAUCCGAGUAAGAUUAUCUCAUCACACCAGGUCGUACCCAUAACCGCAUCAGGUCUCCGAGGUUAGCAGCCUCUGGUCGAUAGAAUAACGUAGAUAAGGGAAUUCGGCAAAUUAGAUCCGUAACUUCGGGAAAAGGAUUGGCUCUGAGGGUUGAGUGUGGUGCCAAUGAAAUGGAACUAGGAUCUGUACUGGUGUUGGUCGCAAGAUCGAAACCGGCAUGGAGAGAAGGAAAAUUUUUGCGGCUAGCACAAUUAACAACCGACUCAGAACUGAAGCGGACAAGGGGAAUCCGACUGUUUAAUAAAAACAUAGCUUUGUGAUGGCCUCAAAAGGUGUUGACACAAAGUGAUUUCUGCCCAGUGCUUUGAAUGUGAGUAUGAAGUAAUUUAUAGAAGCUCAGGUAAACGGCGGGAGUAACUAUGACUCUCUUAAGGUAGCCAAAUGCCUCGUCAUCUAAUUAGUGACGCGCAUGAAUGGAUUAAUGAGAUUCCCACUGUCCCUAUCUACCAUCUAGCGGACCCAUAGCCAAGGGAACGAGCUUGGAAUAAUCAGCGGGGAAAGAAGACCCUGUUGAGCUUGACUCUAGUCCGACUUUGUGAAAUGACUUUCGAGAUAUAGCCUAAGUGGGAGCUAACGCGCCGCUGUAAAACCACUGCUCGCUUAGCCAUUUUACUUACUCCAUGAAGAAGUGGCCGAUUUUUCGGUUCUUAGAUUUAAGCCCUGACUCGUAUCAGGGCAAGCUUUGUGGAGGACACAGUCAGGUGGGGAGUCUGACUGGGGCGGUACAUCUGUUAAAACGUAACGCAGGUGUCCUACGGUGAGCUCAAAGAGAACAGAAAUCUCUUGUAGACCAAAAGGGGAAAAGCUCACUUGAUUUUGAUUUUCAGUACUAAUACAAACCGCGAAAGCGUGGCCUAUCGAUCCUUUAACUUUACAAGUUUUAAGCUAGAGGUGUCAGAAAAGUUACCACAGGGAUAACUGGCUUGUGGCAGCCAAGCGCCCAUAGCGACGUUGCUUUUUGAUCCUUCGAUGUCGGCUCUUCCUAUCAUUGUGAUGUACAAGUCACAACGUGUUGGAUUGUUCACCCGUUAAUAGGGAACGUGAGCUGGGUUUAGACCGUCGUGAGACAGGUUAGUUUUACCCUACUGAUGAAUCGAUGUUGCGACAGUAAUCUUACUUAGUACGAGAGGAACCGUUAGAUCAGAUAAUUGGUUAAUACGGUUAGCUGAAAAGCUAAUGCCGUGAAGCUACCAUCUGUUGGAUUAUGACUGAAAGCCUCUAAGUCAGAAACCAUGCUGGAAAGCAACGUCCAAUCAAUAAUAAAUGAAAAAGAAUAAGGGAAACCUUUAGU